rnacentral:lncRNA from 1 species
UCGAUAUCUCACUAGAUCCUCUUCUCUGCUUACCAUUAAAUGAGGGAGUCUCAACACCCUGGGAUUGGGAAGGCUGAGAACUUUUACUUUUCUGUUUGUCUUCCGGCAAUAUCUUACUUUUAAAUGACGGAGUCUCAACACCCUGGGAUUUGGAAGGUUGACAACUUUUGCUUUUCUGUUUGUAUUCCGGCAAUAUCUUACCUUUAAAUGAGGGAGUCUCAACACCCUGGGGUUUGGAAGGCUGAGAACUUUUGCUUUUCUGUUUGUCUUCCGGCAACAUCUUACCUUUAAAUGAGGGAGUCUCAACACCCUGGGAUUUGGAAGGCUGAGAUAUUUUGCUUUUCUGUUGGUCUUCCAGCAAUAUCUCACUUGAUCCUUUUCUCUGCUUUCCUUUACGACGAUUUCUUUUCUUUGGAUCCCCAUAAGAUCGAUUAUUGUCACCGUCAUUAUUCUCAGGUCUUUCUGAAACACCGUCAUUGUUCUCAGGUCUUUCUGAGCCACCAUUAUCAUGAGGCAACCCUUCUUUGUGACUCUCUACAACAGUUGUUGCUCUUUCUUGAAGUUGUAUAGGUUCUCCAUUUCGAAGAGUGUGACUAUCUAACAGCGUGGAAGAUUCAAGAUUAAGCUUAUUAUCC